rnacentral:tRNA from 1 species
UCUAGUUUAACAUAUAUUACAAUGUGAGAGGUUGUAAACUUCUUUAAGGCUACAGUCAACUAGGA